UAGGGAAUAUUGCGCAAUGGGGGAAACCCUGACGCAGCGACGCCGCGUGAGUGAUGAAGGCCUUCGGGUUGUAAAGCUCUGUUCUUAGGGAAUAAAAAAAUGAAGGUACCUAAGGAGAAAGGACUGGCUAACUUCGUGCCAGCAGCCGCGGUAAUACGAGGGGUCCAAGCGUUGUUCGGAAUUAUUGGGCGUAAAGCGGGUGCAGGUGGUUUCGUCAGUCAGAAGUGAAAGCCCCGGGCUUAACCCGGGAAGUGCUUUUGAUACUGCGGAACUUGAGUGUGGAAGAGGAUGGUGGAAUUCCUGGUGUAGUGGUGAAAUACGUAGAGAUCAGGAGGAACAUCGGUGGGGAAGCCGGCUAUCUGGUCCAACACUGACACUCAGACCCGAAAGCGUGGGGAGCAAACAGG
rnacentral:rRNA from 1 species